UACGUAGGGUGCGAGCGUUAAUCGGAAUUACUGGGCGUAAAGCGUGCGCAGGCGGUUCGUUAUGUCCGUUGUGAAAGCCCCGGGCUCAACCUGGGAAUGGCAAUGGAAACUGGCGGGCUCGAGUGUGGCAGAGGGGGGUGGAAUUCCGCGUGUAGCAGUGAAAUGCGUAGAGAUGCGGAGGAACACCGAUGGCGAAGGCAGCCCCCUGGGCUAGCACUGACGCUCAGGCACGAAAGCGUGGGGAGCAAACAGG
rnacentral:rRNA from 1 species